UGAGCAGGUGUCUUGCGGUUGUGC
rnacentral:siRNA from 1 species